AGUCUGAUGGAUCUGGGUGACUGGGCAAGUUCUUUAGCUUGUCAAACCUUCAUUUCUCUAAUUUAUAACAUAAGGACAGUACCUUCUUCCUGUCAAGGUUGAGGCAAGCAUUAGUGAGAAACGUCUCAAGGCCUGGUUCACAUUAAAGGUCAAAAAAGAGAGAAAACAUCACUGUUCUCUUCAGCAGAACUUUUGUCAGUGUGAUCGAGAAUUGUCUCAAGUGACAAGUGAGCUGACCAGGGAACCCUGGGUGGCAGGUACUAUUGGCACCAUUUUCCAGAUAAAGAAAAUGAAGUUCUAAGCAGUCAAAUGACAUGUCAAGAUCACCCAACUGUAAAGGAUGACAGAGGGCACAGAAGCCACCAGCAGAUUCUUUGGAAGGAAGUAACAGGAGUGGAACUUCAUUUUCCCAUGGAUUGUAAAGGUCUUGCUAUGUCACCCAGGCUGGAGUGCAGUUGCGCCAUC
rnacentral:lncRNA from 1 species